rnacentral:rRNA from 1 species
GAUGAACGCUGGCGGCGUGCCUAAUACAUGCAAGUCGAGCGAACGGACGAGAAGCUUGCUUUUCUGAUGUUAGCGGCGGACGGGUGAGUAACACGUGGAUAACCUACCUAUAAGACUGGGAUAACUUCGGGAAACCGUAGCUAAUACCGGAUAAUAUUUUGAACCGCAUGGUUCAAAAGUGAAAGACGGUCUUGCUGUCACUUAUAGAUGGAUCCGCGCUGCAUUAGCUAGUUGGUAAGGUAACGGCUUACCAAGGCAACGAUGCAUAGCCGACCUGAGAGGGUGAUCGGCCACACUGGAACUGAGACACGGUCCAGACUCCUACGGGAGGCAGCAGUAGGGAAUCUUCCGCAAUGGGCGAAAGCCUGACGGAGCAACGCCGCGUGAGUGAUGAAGGUCUUCGGAUCGUAAAACUCUGUUAUUAGGGAAGGACAUAUGUGUAAGUAACUGUGCACAUCUUGACGGUACCUAAUCAGAAAGCCACGGCUAACUACGUG